ensembl:lncRNA
GGCUACCAAGGGAUUAAAACACCACAUGUUGCAUGGGUCCUUAAGCUAAACAUCAUGGGGAAAUAUGAGUGAAGAGAGCAAGUGUAGAGUCUAAUCCAGAACUAGAUCUACAUACUAGUGGAAAUCCAACUAACUUACCUUUGCAUAGUAUGGUGUCACAUGCUAACUAGUCAACUAAAUAGCAGAUGUUUUGAAAUACUUAGAGGAGAUGGUGUUCUGAGAGGAACCAACCUGACAGGGAGAAUGAGAGGCCUCGGGGUCAAAUGCACAACAUUCCAGCCCUACGCAAAGGUGUGAGUGAGUGAAGGAGUCAGAGACAAGAGAUCAAGGCACACCGAAACAGCGAGAUGGACCGAAAGAAAAGAAGGAAGAGAGCAUUAGAGACAGAGUUUGAGACUGUAUUUUGUAAUAGACAGUGCUGUGGGAUGAUGUGAUAGGUGGUUCUGAAAUCUUUCAGUGAAUCUGGGUUGAAAUUCACAGAGGCACAAACAGCAGUGACUGGGAACGAGUCAUAUUGUCUACCUAUCAACAGCUGCUGCAGAGAGAAAGACAGAGCAAAUGGAGAAAAUUGAAAGAAAGGACCUCUCAAGCUCCAUCAGGGUGGAUGGGAGCGUCGGUGCACAGCCAUUUUCAGAUCUCUCCAGAGAUGUUCAAUCAGGUUCAAGUCUGGGCUCUGGUUGGGCCACUCAAGGACAUUCACAGAGUUGUCCUGUAGCCACUCCUUUGUUAUCUUGGCUGUGUGCUUAGGGUCGUUGUCCUGUUGGAAGAUGAACCUUCGCCCCAGUCUGAGGUCCAGAGCGCUCUGGAGCAGGUUUUAAUCAAGGAUGUCUCUGUACAUUGCUGCAUUCAUCUUUUCCUCGAUCCUGACUAGUCUCCCAGUUCCUGCCACUGAAAAACAUCCCCAUAGCAUGAUGCUGCCACCAUCAUGCUUCACUGUAGGGAUGGUAUUGGCCAGGUGAUGACUGGUGCCUGGUUUCCUCCAGACAUGACGCUUGCCAUUCAGGCCAAGGAGUUCAAUCUUUGCUUCAUCAGACCAGAGAAUUUUGUUUCUCAUGGUCUGAGAGUCCUUCAGGUGGGCUGUCAUGUGCCUUUGACUGAGGAGUGGCUUCCGUCUGGCCAGUCUACCAUACAGGCCUGAUUGGUGGAGUGCUGCAGAGAUGGUUGUUCUUCUGAAAGGUUCUCCUAUCUCCACAGAGACACGCUGGAGCUCUGUCAGAGUGACGAUCGGGUUUUUGGUCACCUCCCUGACUAAGGCCCUUCUCCCCCGAUCGCUCAGUUUGGCCGGGCGGCCAGCUCUAGGAAGAGUCCUGGUGGUUCCAAACUUCUUCCAUUUACGGAUGAUGGAGGCUACUGUGCUCAUUGGGACCUUCAAUGCUGCAGAAAUGUUUCUGUAUCCUUCCCCAGAUCUGUGCCUUGAUACAAUCCUGUCUCGGAGGUCUACAGACAAUUCCUUGGACUUCAUGGCUUGGUUUGUGCUCUGACAUG